UGCGGUCUGACCGUCUGCCUGUUCUUCCAAUUCCACCGCUGCUAACCGGGCCCUAGGCCCUCGCCCAACCCCAUCCCCCAAACCCGACUGGCGACAGCCGCUGCCGCCCUAGGCCCUACUCCAGGUACCCCGGUCUUCUUCGGGCCCUUCGCCGGCGACGAGCACCACCAGGUAUUCCAGUUGGUCUUAUGGAGAACAAUGAUGCAGACAAGAAAGAGACUGAUGAAUCCACUCCGCAGCGUCGCUGUAAACCUAAAGUUAAAUUUGCACCCAAAGUUCUUCCUAAGAAAAUGCCAAAAAUCAUCCCUAAAAGGGAACCACAUGAGGAGAACAAGGUUUUGACAAUUGAUAAGAAAGUGAUGACUGGAAUUGGUAGCUUCCAGUUUCACAUGGCAGAUAACUGAUAACCCCAGAAGUGGAGCUAAGGCUGAGAAACAAGGAACCCCUGUCAGGUUUCAUUUGGACGAGCAGACCCUUCAGUUCCAAGGACUUUCCCCACUCCAAGAAGCACUUCAACAGGCAUUAGUUUCAUUUUUAAUUUCACCUUCACUUCAUACUCACAAAUUAGUUUCAUGUGUCUGGCAAAUUAGCAAAGAAAGUUAUACUUUGUCAUUAGUAUAAUCUUUGACAUAUAUGAUAUACCUUUACUAUAUCUACUUUUAUUCUUAAGUACUGUGCAAUUGUUAACUGAAAAGAUAGUUAUAGAGUUUGUUCCAUGUGUAUUCACUAUUUAGGUUCAACUGCUGUAAAAAUUACUCAAGGAGCAUGACGAACCAUGGGAUUACAAUAAAUGUACCAAUUAUCCUGUUACUCUACCACUGAGAUGGCCCAACUCUGGAGAUACAGAGUCUUGACGAAGAGGAAUUCAGCCGUUCUUUGAGCAAAGCCCAAGAUGGUGAACUGACCGCAGCUGAAGAACUUGGACUGAUGGAAAGGGUGGAUAUGCCACAUUUGCUCUUCUUCCAGUUUCCUACUUCUCUUCCUUUACCAAGGGAAACUGACCCAGCUGCUGAAACAGAGACAAACACCAUUGUGAAUGGGAAUGUGAAAUCCAUGGGGAACUAUAGGAAGAGGAUGCUUGACUCAGGCAAUGCCUGUAAUCUGAAAGAGCUGUCAGGUGGUCUCAUGGGAAAGAUACUCAUAUACAAGAGUGGUAAAGUGAAGAUGAAGCUCGGUGAUGUGCUCUUUGAUGUUGCUGCUGGCUCCAAUUGCAUGUUUGUUCAAGAGGUUGUACCGAUUGAUACUCGUAUACUUUUUGCUGUAGCAUUGGGGAGCUUGGAAAACGUGCAGUUGUAACACCUGAUAUCGACUAUUUGUCAGGUUCUAUUGAGAAGAUGUAGCCUGUGGUUAGGCAUAAGUGGGUAUAUAGUUUGGUUGGUUGGGGGCUCCUUCUGGUAUUACAGAGCGAUAUUGCUAGGUUCAAUCCGGAGUACUUCAGACAGAGUUGGUCAUUGUUAUUGCUACUGUUUUGCAGUGAGCACUAUGAAGUUGCAAAUCUGCAACAGGAAAGCUAACGAAAUCAAUACUGAUUUCAGAUGUCCAAA